ACAUGUCCAACUACCAAAACAUUGAGCUAGUCGGUACUAAUUUAAAAAAAAAUAGGUAUAAUUUCCUUUAAAAAUAGAUAUCUAAAAAAUUCUAAACCUGUAUAAACCUGUAUAAUUAGGUAACUUUACAAAAGACGUAACGGGCAAAAUACACACAUCAAGCUAGUUGAUACUAAUUUUAAAAAAUUUCGACAAAAUUUCCUUUAAAAAUAGAUAUCCAGACAAAUAUAAACCUGUCUAUAAAACUUACAAUCAUUCAUACAUAUCCAAACCACAAAAAAAACAAUCAUUCCAUACCCAAAAUCAUAAUAACCAUGUAUAAUUAGUUAACUUUACAAAAUACGGAACAGAAAAAUACAUACAUGAAGAAAUUAAAUCAUACUCAAUCAUCAACACAUCCAACCACCAAAACAUCAAGUUAGUUGCUACUAAUUUCAAAAAAAUUCGGCAGAAUUUCCUUUAAAAAUAGAUAUCCAGAAAAAUCUAAACCUGUUUACAAAACUUACAAUCAUCCAUACAUAUCCAAACCACCAAAAAAACCAUCAUUCCAUACCCAAAAUCAUCAUAACCAAGUAUAAUUAGCUAAAUUUACAAAAGGCGGAACACAAAAAAUACAUACAUACAGAAAAUAGAGAAACAACAUGUUGAGCAUAAAACCUUUUACUUUACAGCUUACACCAAGUAUAUUAUUUACAACUUACAUCAUGUAUCCUUCAAUAUAUACCUGAAAUUUAAAAAUUAUUGAAAUAGGUAAGUCAGAAUAAAACAAUUGUAAAUCCGAAACAUAAGACCCCUUACUUUACCCUGAAUUAUCUAAAAAAUAAAUGAGCACACAUAUUUGUAUGUAGGGGGAAUGAAUUAGUUUGAUAUAAGUAAGAAUUUAGAGAGAUUGUAACAACUAAUCAAUUUUUUUAGGAAAAGAUAUGGACUUACAAUCAAAUAAAGUUUUCUUAGUACUAUUUCAACAAACGGUUCAUUUGCUUAAUGGCGUGUGAGCUUGAUUUGCGUGUGUUUGAUUGGUUACAGUUAUGUGUGUGUGUUUGUGCAUAUAUUAUGUGUGUUGUGUGUCUGCAUGAGAAGUAGAUAAAUAUAGUCUUAGUAAGAGAGACUUUCACACCUAGACAAUUGUUUGGUCAAUUAAUGGUAGGUUAGUAAUCGCCAAAGGUGGACAUGUCAGUACUGGAUUGUAUAUCAUUUAAUUCUCUUAAAUGUCUUUUUCAUCCCUUUAAACCUUCUCUUCAUGUCCUCGUAUCAAUACAAACGCACUUUGCCCAAUGAGGAGAAUGCACAACCACCUAUAUUAUUUACACAAACAAUAAAAUUAACACUAUUUAUAAUAUAGGAAUAGUAAAAUUAUUCUGAUGCAGUGACAUAAAAGUAGAUUUACCUGAUUACGUCGGCCCCAUCCACAACGGUCCAUUGUAUAUAUUUUAUUGUUCUCGUUGACAAAUUCACUCCAAUCCUACAAAGAAUGAACCUCAUUGUAAAAUUAAAAGUUGAA
rnacentral:lncRNA from 1 species